GGAUUGACUAUGAGUCCUCAUAAAAACAUUCUUUGGAAAAGCUGAAUAAAAUGAACGACAACUCACUACUGUUGUUCUCAUCAGAACUGAGGUCC
rnacentral:snoRNA from 1 species